rnacentral:sRNA from 1 species
AAAUACAUGAAAAAAAAUCCAAAGUCAGAUAAUCCAAAAUUAAUCAUCUGGAAUAGCCGUAAAUAUAACUCAAUAAACUUUUGAAUUCUAAAAAUCCUAAAAGAAGAGAACAGUACAAGAACAAGAAUAAUUGCUGAGAAUGCCCUUUGCACACUACCUUUUUUCAAUUCUACCCUUUCCUAUUUGCCAUUUUUAUUUAGAGAUAUUUGCCUUCUCGGACACUUUUUCAAAACAAUUUACGUGUUACAACACUUACAAAAAAUCAGGCACUUUGUACAAACAAAGUUACUAUUAUACCCUAAAACCAAAUUUU